GGUCCCAUAAAGGCAUGCUUGGAGGGGUUUGCUGUGGUAGAGCAUGACUGGAGCCCUGACCUUAAAGCUUAUCAGAUGUUCAAGAAUCUCUGGAGACGAUCCUUGAGGGCGCGGUCUCUCUCCCUCGUUGAAAUGUGAUGGCUCGUCACAUGCCUACACACACAGACAGACAGUAGGCCACUCGAUUGGUGAAGCUUUACUAUGGAUCAGAGCGGUCAAGCGAACAUGUCGACCGGCAGUUUUCGGUGAGAAAAUUGUGGAAAUAAGUCGCCUCUUACCGGAGAUCAGCGGAGCUUCUGUCGUGCUGCAGCUUCGUGACUUCCCUCAGAGACUGGCGUCAACACACCCGUGGACUCACCCCUC